rnacentral:rRNA from 1 species
UGGCUCAGAGCGAACGCUGGCGGCAGGCUUAACACAUGCAAGUCGAACGGGCCCUUCGGGGUCAGUGGCAGACGGGUGAGUAACACGUGGGAACGUGCCCUUCGGUUCGGAACAACUCAGGGAAACUUGAGCUAAUACCGGAUACGCCCUUCGGGGGAAAGAUUUAUCGCUGAAGGAUCGGCCCGCGUCUGAUUAGCUAGUUGGUGAGGUAAUGGCUCACCAAGGCGACGAUCAGUAGCUGGUCUGAGAGGAUGAUCAGCCACACUGGGACUGAGACACGGCCCAGACUCCUACGGGAGGCAGCAGUGGGGAAUAUUGGACAAUGGGCGCAAGCCUGAUCCAGCCAUGCCGCGUGAGUGAUGAAGGCCUUAGGGUUGUAAAGCUCUUUCGUCCGGGACGAUAAUGACGGUACCGGAAGAAGAAGCCCCGGCUAACUUCGUGCCAGCAGCCGCGGUAAUACGAAGGGGGCUAGCGUUGCUCGGAAUCACUGGGCGUAAAGGGCGCGUAGGCGGCCAUUCAAGUCAGAGGUGAAAGCCCAAGGCUCAACCUUGGAAUUGCCUUUGAUACUGUUUGGCUUGAGACCGGAAGAGGUAAGUGGAACUGCGAGUGUAGAGGUGAAAUUCGUAGAUAUUCGCAAGAACACCAGUGGCGAGGGCGGCUUACUGGUCCGGUUCUGACGCUGAGGCGCGAAA